UACGUAGGUGGCAAGCGUUGUCCGGAAUUAUUGGGCGUAAAGCGCGCGCAGGCGGUCUCUUAAGUCUGAUGUGAAAGCCCACGGCUCAACCGUGGAGGGUCAUUGGAAACUGGGAGACUUGAGUACAGAAGAGGAAAGUGGAAUUCCAAGUGUAGCGGUGAAAUGCGUAGAGAUUUGGAGGAACACCAGUGGCGAAGGCGACUUUCUGGUCUGUAACUGACACUGAGGCGCGAAAGCGUGGGGAGCAAACAGG
rnacentral:rRNA from 1 species